UCCCAGGACCCCGAGAUCAUGAUCUGAGCCGAAGGCAGCGGCUCAACCCACUGAGCCACCCAGGCGCCCCACCCUGGUGGGUUCUUAAAUGUGCUUUCUAAAUGGCGUUUUCUGUUUCAGUAGGUGUGUCAUCUUUGUCACAUGCAGCCACUGGAUGCGUUGUUCCAUUAACUCAGGGAUUAGGUGUGUUUUGCCAGAUUCUCCUUAAACAUCAGGAGCUGAAAAAAGAUUUAAAGGUGGGGGAAGAAAAAGAGGAAAAAUAACUCCCCAUCUCUGCAGACCUUCAGCACUUAGCCAAGCUGGUUCCUGUCCUGCCCUAGCCUUCACAUCGUUUCUGUGGAGCCUGGAGGCCCAUCCGAGGUGAACGUGUCCAGACGUCUCUAAGCCUGUGUCCACCCUAGGCACAGGUGAUUUCCUGGCACGCAUGGAAGCUUCUAGAAGCUUAUGCCCAUACAGCUCUCCUUUUCAGCCUCCUCCUUCCCAGGUGUGUCAGUCUGCUGUUCACCAUGACAGCCAUUCCUGGCCCCUGCUGGCUUAUAGCCGGGACCUGGGUCUUUGCGUGCUUGUGGCACAAGCCAUCUGGGAAGCUGCACAGACCUGUGACUGACGGGAGUCCAGGAGACCAGGGGAAGCCGCACAGCCCUCCUCCAGACAGUGGUCCAGCUGGGACACCCACUCUGCAGCUGAGAACAAGGUCUGUCACUCGGCCCUGGCCCAGGGACUUGCCUGCACCGCAGGCCGUCACCACGUGGCAGCUGAUCUGAGGUGUGUGGGGUUGGGGGUGGCAGGUGUAAGUCGGGAGCUCUGCGGCUGCACAGUGUGCCUCCCUCACAUGCCUCCCCUGCUUUGGACAACAGUCCUGAGACCUGCAGAGGUCACCCGCUCAUCAGUUGUUUCUACCAGCGGCAGGGGUGGGGGGGUGGAACCCGGAACCCUCCGUGUCCCGCCUCUGCCACACCUCCCGUCAGUUCUGGAGCACGUCCUACUGACCAGUGUUCUGUGCUGUGAGCGCUCCUGAGCAGCCCUGGUGCCAUCUGGUGGAGAAGAAUAUUUAGAAAUCAAGAUCUGAGCGCAUACUUUCCUAAAGAUAAAAAUACUACAUGCUUUUGUAGGAACUUAAAAUUUGUAAACUGUGCUAGUAUUUUUUGUUAGGAUUGCUGUGGAUUCUGCGAGAUCUCUGGUUACAUUACAGAAGUCUCGAGUGGGCCGCCCUCUCUCUCCCCACGACGUACUGUUGUCGGCUAGCAGGAGCAUGAGGUUUGAGAGGGACACAGUCAUUGACUGCAGUUUAGAAGAAAUGAUGGCACUUCACUUUUUGUUGGCGAAUUCUGUAUCCGCGUCUGACCGGCUGCCAGGAUAGAAGACUGCUAUCUCAUGUACAAUUCCAGUCUAACAGGUGGUCCCCAGGAGGUAGGGUAGCCCCUUCCAGGUGGUUCUCCAGAGGGAAAGGGUCCCCUUUAUCCCAUUGCUUCUCUGUCCCCUAGAAAGGAGUCAGCGAGAGACAGUCGUGGGCCACAUUUGGCCCCUGCCUCUUUCAUAUGGCGUGGAAGCCACAAAUGGGCUCACAUUUGCAAGUAGUUUUUUAAAAAAGAUCGAGUAUUUUAUAGCUUAUGAAAUUCAAUGAGACUGAAAUUUGUGUCCCAUGUCAGGUUUAUUGGGACAGUUCCCACUAGAGGCAGGGCUGAGCGGUGGCAGAGGCUGUGCCCACAAAGCCCGAAGUGCUCCCAGCUGGCCCCUCCCAGGGCCCAUUGGCCAAGCCCAGCCCUCAAGUGUUGUCCUUGUUCUCAGGGUAGAAGCUGGCUUGGCACCAUGGUUCUUUCACAGCCAAAGGAGGGAGAAAGAGGCAGCAAAGGAGACAGUCCUUCUAGAAUGGGACUCAGAAGAUGACACAUCACCCUACUCACGCCCCGUGGACCCAACCUCAGCUAGCCGAAGCUGGGACGUCAGAACUGCCGUGGGGUGCUGGCUGGCACUGGACAGAAGGGGACACUGGUGCCCGGAGUAGCGCAGGCUGGUCCACUCGACGAGCUACGUGCAGAUACAGGCUCCGCGCGGCGCUGCAGGACAGCGAGCACCCCACGGCUUCAUCUGCGUUUCGCUCGCCUCUUCCUGGACCUAGACGGUCCCGCACUUCGUGCUGACAGCAUAGCUCUGUGCACACGUCUACGUGUGUACAGAAUGUCUCUGGGACACAAAAGCACAUCAGCAGUACCACUCCACAAGGCACACACAGGAAUUUUAAAAGGAUUUUCACAUGAAUUCUGCAAAUCAAGGACAGUACAGGUAGCAGCGGAAGGUCUAAUCCCUAGUUCCUGCUCCUCAGGAUGGCUUCAGCAGACCCAUGUAGAAGAGAAAGCCCACCCCCGACUGGGAGGAACCCCCUUCCUGAUGGACCCUCUCCUCUCGGCAUGUUAAUGCACCACUGAAGGGUCCGCCUCCAUCCAGAAACCCGUGUCUACUUACUGUAGGGACUUGGCCAUGGCGUGAGAAGAGGCUGCUCCGGGCAGGGGUGUGUUGUGUGCCCCCCGGCCCCCUCAGCUGGAUGGAGCCUGCGCCUGCUGUUGCAUGAAGACGCCGUGCUGGGCCAGAAGGUGCCGGGGACACAACCGUGCAGGGCAGGAGAGUGGAGGAGAUUCCAAGCCCCAGGUUCCCCAGCGGCUGCCUCUCCAGUGGCUCUGGCUGCUCACACCGCCCCCAGCAGCCCCCCAGUGCAGCCCCCGGCCCCACAAGCUGCUCUUUUAUGGCAGCCCCAGGGUUGGGCUCCGUCCGUUGGGCUCGAGUCAGCAGCCCAUGCUAGGUCAUCAGUUUGUUCCUCUAGGGAAGAAGAAAAACAGGGUCGUUAAAGCAGCAGCAGCCACUGAGCCCACGCAGAGACGUGACAUGAAAACACCCCGACACCUUCGCCGUGAUGAAUAAACCCUGUUACUACGUCGUCAGGGAUGCAGCUCGGGACCAGCUCUGUGCACCAGGCCCUUGCGUGCAUGGCUCCGUGAGGAAGAAUGUGUUACAUCACAUUCACUUUUUAAAUAUUUUACUUAAAAUGCAUACUGUGUAUUUAAGCUAUGAGGACAAACUGGGAAAUCUUUAUAGCUAUUAUUUCAACAAAUAAAUCAUGAAUAUAU